GAUGAACGCUGGCGGCGUGCCUAAUACAUGUAAGUCGAACGGAGUACGUAGCAAUAUGUACUUAGUGGCGAACGGGUGAGUAACGCGUUGGUGACCUGCCCCGAAGAGGGGGAUAACAGUUCGAAAGGACUGCUAAUACCCCAUGUGGUCAUAGAGGUUAGAGGCUUUGUGACUGAAGGAGCAAUCCGCUUCGGGAGGGGCCUGCGUCCCAUCAGCUAGUUGGGAAGGUAAAGGCUUACCAAGGCGAAGACGGGUAGGGGACCUGAGAGGGUGAUCCCACACACUGGCACUGAAACACGGGCCAGACACCUACGGGUGGCAGCAGUAGGGAAUAUUGCACAAUGGGCGAAAGCCUGAUGCAGCAACGCCGCGUGCGCGAAGAAGGCCUUCGGGUCGUAAAGCGCUUUUUGGGGAGAUGAGAAAGGACAGUAUCCCCAGAAUAAGGCUCGGCUAACUACGUGCCAGCCGCCGCAGUAAUAC
rnacentral:rRNA from 1 species